rnacentral:lncRNA from 1 species
AAGUUCUCUGUUUUCCUGAUUUGGAAAUAGGUAAAAAUUACACAAUGUUUAAAUUAGUUGGAGAGUAUCUUGGAUACUUCAUCCCCUCCCCCUUGGAUGAGGUCUUUAGAAGAGUAUUCAGAACCUACGUUGGGAGCAGCCAGCUUUAUAAAAGCUAGACGACUGUGGAACGAGCAUAAGUCUGUCUGAGAAUGAUGGCAAGAAUACAGACAACUUUAAUUUGCCUCCUUCUCCCCUGUCUCCUUCAGGAUUCAUUAAGUAGACAUGUCCCCCAUGAAGGUGGCCAUGCUUUGCAACCUCGCAUCCAGAGAGACAUAAAGAAUGUAGAUCCCCCUGUGGUCUUACAGGGGCCAAUAACUCAUGGAACGGAUGUAGACGCAAUCCUCCGGAAGCACAAUGUAAGUGUAAUAGGUGUGAAAUGGCUAGCUAGUUAAUUGUGCCUGCUAGUAGUAUUUCAAUCUGUGAUGUAAUUGUUUUGGGUGGGAGCGAUAGUUAACGAUGCUACGUGGGAAGGCAGUUGUUAAUGUGUUCAGAGGGUCCCUGUUCAAGCCCAGGUUGGGGCGAGGAGAGGGAAGAAAGCAACACUGUUACAUAAGAGCCUUAUACAUCCUGUCUCUUACUCCAAAAUACACACAUUUUUAAACCAAGCUUGGUCCCUCUCUCGUAGCAUAUAACAGUUGUUUUGUCCAUACAGGUUUGUCUGGUUUCCACUUGCCCGAUAAUAAUGUUCAAUGUGAUUAGGUUAGAAAUUGGGUGUUAGAAUGAUGUAAUGUUCUGUUUUUCUUACCUUCAGAUCACUUUACCAAAUGGCUACCUUGGUCAGGUAAGAACUUGUAUGAACUUUGCCUUUGCAACACAACUAACUAAGUUGAUUACACAACAUGUUUUUACUU